UGCAACCUGAACUCAGGCGUGAUUACCCGCUGAACUUAAGCAUAUCAUUU
rnacentral:rRNA from 1 species